rnacentral:SRP_RNA from 1 species
GCUGGGCAUGGUGGCUCAUGCCUGUAAUCCCAGCUACUCAGGAGGCUGAGACAGGAGAAUUGCUUGAACCUGGGAGGCGGAGGUCGCAGUGAGCCAAGAUUGUGCCACUGACUAUACUCCCGCCUGGGAGACAGAGUGAGACCCUGUCUCAA